ACUCCUACGGGAGGCAGCAGUGGGGAAUAUUGCACAAUGGGCGCAAGCCUGAUGCAGCCAUGCCGCGUGUAUGAAGAAGGCCUUCGGGUUGUAAAGUACUUUCAGCAGUGAGGAAGGUGGAUAUGUUAAUAGCAUAUUCAUUUGACGUUAGCUGCAGAAGAAGCACCGGCUAACUCCGUGCCAGCAGCCGCGGUAAUACGGAGGGUGCGAGCGUUAAUCGGAAUUACUGGGCGUAAAGCGCAUGCAGGUGGUUUGUUAAGUCAGAUGUGAAAGCCCGGGGCUCAACCUCGGAAUUGCAUUUGAAACUGGCAAACUAGAGUACUGUAGAGGGGGUAGAAUUUCAGGUGUAGCGGUGAAAUGCGUAGAGAUCUGAAGGAUACCGGUGGCGAACGGCGCCCCCGGACAGAUACUGACACUCAGAUGCGAAAGCGUGGGAGC
rnacentral:rRNA from 1 species